AACUAAGUCCAGUGUGGCCAAGCAGGAGGAGGAGUUUCAGAGCCCCAAGUACAUUUUCCACAACUUCAUGGAGAGACUCUGGGCAUACCUGACUAUCCAGCAACAGCUGGAGCAGAUGGUUUCAGCAUCAGAAGCCGAAUCACAGGUCCUCAAAGACCGAGCUCUGAAUUUGUCACUUGAAUACAACUUUGUCACUCCUCUCACCUCUAUGGUGGUCACCAAACCCGAAGGCCAAGAACAGUCUCAAGUUGCUGAGAAACCUGUGGAAGAUGGUGAGUGUGGGACCUGUGUUCCAGCCUCCUG
rnacentral:lncRNA from 1 species